CGCAUGGUGGUUCAGUGGUUAGCACGUUCGCCUCACACCUCCAGGGUUGGGUUCGAUUCCUGUGUGUGUGG